rnacentral:rRNA from 1 species
GACGAACGCUGGCGGCGUGCCUAAUACAUGCAAGUUGAACGAUGAUUUCUGGUACUUGUAUCAGGAUGAAGAGUAGCGAACGGGUGAGUAACGCGUGGGUAACCUACCUCUUAGCGGGGGACAACUAUUGGAAACGAUAGCUAAUACCGCAUAACAAUAUUAAACACAUGUUUAAUAUUUGAAAGUACCAAUUGGUACACUAGGAGAUGGACCCGCGUUGUAUUAGCUAGUUGGUAGUGUAAUGGACUACCAAGGCGAUGAUACAUAGCCGACCUGAGAGGGUGAUCGGCCACAUUGGGACUGAGACACGGCCCAAACUCCUACGGGAGGCAGCAGUAGGGAAUCUUCGGCAAUGGACGAAAGUCUGACCGAGCAACGCCGCGUGAGUGAAGAAGGUUUUCGGAUCGUAAAACUCUGUUGUUAGAGAAGAACGUUGUGUAGAGUGGAAAAUUACACAAGUGACGGUAUCUAACCAGAAAGGGACGGCUAACUACGUGCCAGCAGCCGCGGUAAUACGUAGGUCCCGAGCGUUGUCCGGAUUUAUUGGGCGUAAAGCGAGCGCAGGUGGUUUAAUAAGUCUGAUGUAAAAGGCAGUGGCUCAACCAUUGUGUGCAUUGGAAACUGUUAGACUUGAGUGCAGUAGAGGAGAGUGGAAUUCCAUGUGUAGCGGUGAAAUGCGUAGAUAUAUGGAGGAACACCGGUGGCGAAAGCGGCUCUCUGGACUGUAACUGACACUGAGGCUCGAAAGCGUGGGUAGCAAACA